rnacentral:rRNA from 1 species
GCGACACAGGAUGGGCG